ensembl:lncRNA LINC02323 long intergenic non-protein coding RNA 2323
CCGGACGGCCGGGCCGCCGCCUCCUCUGGGCCUCGUCUCCCCUUCAAGCCCCCGGCCUUGUGGGGAAGGGGGAAUCCUUGACGCAUUUUACAGACGGCACAUAGGGUCGGGGCAGUGCUUUAACCGGAGACCAGGAGCCUGACUCUUCCAGGGCUCUGUGAGACAGCCUGGUGCCUGGCGGGGGUGACACAGCCCCACUGUCUGCCCCGCGUUUACAGCCAGGAACCACACCUGAGCCAUUUCCAAGGGUGACAUGUGUCACAGAACUGUGGGGAAGGGGCUAUCCAGAGAUUCCCAGUAGGAGACACGGGGAGACCUGCAGGAAUGAUCUCUCGCAGCACCCAAGUCUGCACCCUGCUUCACUCACUCAGCAAUCUGUCCAGGAGCUCCUUCAAUGUCAAGACAUCCAGAAAGAUCUGUCUUCCUCCUUUUCCAGGCCCCUGUGCAGGAACCCCCUGCACCUGGUCCCCCGUGAUGGGUGCUCAGGCUCAGGACCCUAUGGGAUUGCACAGGUCGCAGCCCAAGCGCAGUACUUGCGCACAGGUCCCAGCCCCUUCCCUCUCUGGGACUUGUCUUCUGGCCCCUCACUCCUGCGAUGAGCUUUUCUUUCAGCUGGUGAAAGGCCGCAGACUUCGAACCUCUGGGCCUUUGUCCAGGACGUUCCCUCAGCGCUCAGUGCCCUUCCUGGUGGCCUCCUACAUCUUCAGAUCCCGGCUGAGCUCUGCUUAAAUCCGGGACCGGGUAGUCACUGGGGCAGCCACUUGGCUGGGGCGAGGCCACCUCGCUUUGGGUCUUGUCGCGCCCAGGCCAGCGCCAGCCCAGGCUUGCCAUGGACUGGCUCCUGGGCGUUAGAUGAAUGAAUCGACUCAACCCGGGCCGCCACGUUGUGUUCAGAACACCGACAGUCGCUCCCAGGCAACCAGCACCUGCUGCGCCCCGUUUCCAGCGACCUCCCCAACCGCGUGGACUCGCAUCCACGUGCCCGGCGGGGCCGCAGCAGAAAGGCUCGGACCCCCCAGGACGAUCGGCCGGUGGGGGCCGGUGGGGCCGCAGACUCGGGGGGCGGGGGGCGCCAGGCUUCCGGGUCCUGCCCCCGCCCCGUGGGGAACAGCAGGACGGCGCCGAGGCCGUUUCGCUUUCCUCCGCGCCCAUUUGCCGGGAGGGGACCCCGUGCUCCGACCUGAAGGUGACGGCAGAGCCUGCGGGAGGCCUAGGCCGGUCCCGCCCUACGGGUCCCGGGGGCGACCCUCGCGCUGACAUUGGCGUCCAGGCCGCGGCCCCUGCCUCCGCGCCCACCCACGCCGGGCCUGGCCCUCGCUCCCCCGGGAAAAGCCCCGCCGGCGGCCGCGAGAGCGCGGAAGCGCAGCCGUAGUGACCGCGAGACAAAGACCCGGCGGCGGGGGAGGCGGCGGAGAGACCCCGCCAGCGCGGAGACCCCAGGGAAGCUUCUCUGGAAGACCUGGUGCUGGUCCGCUCUCCCGGGACCUCAUUUUCCUUAUGUGGACAACGGGGGCGGGGUCACAGCAGCCCCUCGGGCUUAUAGCCGGGUUGUUCUUUCCUUAAAUCUCCUCCCUCUGCCAAAAUAAAAAACCCCACAGGGCAA